AACGAACGCUGGCGGCAUGCCUAACACAUGCAAGUCGAACGAGGCCUUCGGGUCUAGUGGCGCACGGGUGCGUAACGCGUGGGAACCUGCCCUUAGGUUCGGAAUAACUCCCCGCAAGGGGUGCUAAUACCGGAUAAUGUCUUCGGACCAAAGAUUUAUCGCCUUUGGAUGGUCCCGCGUUGGAUUAGCUAUUUGGUAGGGUAAAAGCCUACCAAGGCGACGAUCCAUAGCUGGUCUGAGAGGAUGAUCAGCCACACUGGGACUGAGACACGGCCCAGACUCCUACGGGAGGCAGCAGUGGGGAAUAUUGGACAAUGGGCGAAAGCCUGAUCCAGCAAGGCCGCGUGAGUGAUGAAGGCCUUAGGGUUGUAAAGCUCUUUUAACCGGGAUGAUAAUGACAGUACCGGGAGAAUAAGCGCCGGCUAACUCCGUG
rnacentral:rRNA from 1 species